GCCUGAAUCAGUGUGUGUGUUAGUGGAAGCGUCUGGAAAGGCGCGCGAUACAGGGUGACAGCCCCGUACACAAAAAUGCACAUGCUGUGAGCUCGAUGAGUAGGGCGGGACACGUGGUAUCCUGUCUGAAUAUGGGGGGACCAUCCUCCAAGGCUAAAUACUCCUGACUGACCGAUAGUGAACCAGUACCGUGAGGGAAAGGCGAAAAGAACCCCGGCGAGGGGAGUGAAAAAGAACCUGAAACCGUGUACGUACAAGCAGUGGGAGCACGCUUAGGCGUGUGACUGCGUACCUUUUGUAUAAUGGGUCAGCGACUUAUAUUCUGUAGCAAGGUUAACCGAAUAGGGGAGCCGAAGGGAAACCGAGUCUUAACUGGGCGUUAAGUUGCAGGGUAUAGACCCGAAACCCGGUGAUCUAGCCAUGGGCAGGUUGAAGGUUGGGUAACACUAACUGGAGGACCGAACCGACUAAUGUUGAAAAAUUAGCGGAUGACUUGUGGCUGGGGGUGAAAGGCCAAUCAAACCGGGAGAUAGCUGGUUCUCCCCGAAAGCUAUUUAGGUAGCGCCUCGUGAAUUCAUCUCCGGGGGUAGAGCACUGUUUCGGCAAGGGGGUCAUCCCGACUUACCAACCCGAUGCAAACUGCGAAUACCGGAGAAUGUUAUCACGGGAGACACACGGCGGGUGCUAACGUCCGUCGUGAAGAGGGAAACAACCCAGACCGCCAGCUAAGGUCCCAAAGUCAUGGUUAAGUGGGAAACGAUGUGGGAAGGCCCAGACAGCCAGGAUGUUGGCUUAGAAGCAGCCAUCAUUUAAAGAAAGCGUAAUAGCUCACUGGUCGAGUCGGCCUGCGCGGAAGAUGUAACGGGGCUAAACCAUGCACCGAAGCUGCGGCAGCGACGCUUAUGCGUUGUUGGGUAGGGGAGCGUUCUGUAAGCCUGUGAAGGUGUGCUGUGAGGCAUGCUGGAGGUAUCAGAAGUGCGAAUGCUGACAUAAGUAACGAUAAAGCGGGUGAAAAGCCCGCUCGCCGGAAGACCAAGGGUUCCUGUCCAACGUUAAUCGGGGCAGGGUGAGUCGACCCCUAAGGCGAGGCCGAAAGGCGUAGUCGAUGGGAAACAGGUUAAUAUUCCUGUACUUGGUGUUACUGCGAAGGGGGGACGGAGAAGGCUAUGUUGGCCGGGCGACGGUUGUCCCGGUUUAAGCGUGUAGGCUGGUUUUCCAGGCAAAUCCGGAAAAUCAAGGCUGAGGCGUGAUGACGAGGCACUACGGUGCUGAAGCAACAAAUGCCCUGCUUCCAGGAAAAGCCUCUAAGCAUCAGGUAACAUCAAAUCGUACCCCAAACCGACACAGGUGGUCAGGUAGAGAAUACCAAGGCGUUGAGAGAAUCGGGUGAAGGAACUAGGCAAAAUGGUGCCGUAACUUCGGGAGAAGGCACGCUGAUAUGUAGGUGAAGUCCCUCGCGGAUGGAGCUGAAAUCAGUCGAAGAUACCAGCUGGCUGCAACUGUUUAUUAAAAACACAGCACUGUGCAAACACGAAAGUGGACGUAUACGGUGUGACGCCUGCCCGGUGCCGGAAGGUUAAUUGAUGGGGUCAGCGCAAGCGAAGCUCUUGAUCGAAGCCCCGGUAAACGGCGGCCGUAACUAUAACGGUCCUAAGGUAGCGAAAUUCCUUGUCGGGUAAGUUCCGACCUGCACGAAUGGCGUAAUGAUGGCCAGGCUGUCUCCACCCGAGACUCAGUGAAAUUGAACUCGCUGUGAAGAUGCAGUGUACCCGCGGCAAGACGGAAAGACCCCGUGAACCUUUACUAUAGCUUGACACUGAACAUUGAGCCUUGAUGUGUAGGAUAGGUGGGAGGCUUUGAAGUGUGGACGCCAGUCUGCAUGGAGCCGACCUUGAAAUACCACCCUUUAACUGUUUGAUGUCUAACGCGUGAUCCGGGUUGCGGACAGUGUCUGGUGGGUAGUUUGACUGGGGCGGUCUCCUCCUAAAGAGUAACGGAGGAGCACGAAGGUUGGCUAAUCCUGGUCGGACAUCAGGAGGUUAGUGCAAUGGCAUAAGCCAGCUUGACUGCGAGCGUGACGGCGCGAGCAGGUGCGAAAGCAGGUCAUAGUGAUCCGGUGGUUCUGUAUGGAAGGGCCA
rnacentral:rRNA from 1 species